GAUGAAGAACGUAGCGAAAUGCGAUACGUAGUGUGAAUUGCAGAAUUCAGUGAAUCAUCGAAUCUUUGAACGUACAUUGCACCUCUCGGUAUUCCGGGAGGUAUGCCUGUUCGAGCGUCAUUUGUACCCUCAAGCUCUGCUUGGUGUUGGGUGUUUGUUCCGCCUCUGUGUGUGAACUCGCCUCAAAACAAUUGGCAGCCGGCGUACUUGUUUCGGAGCGCAGCACAUUUUGCGAUCCAGAUCAACGUACAGCGGCAUCCAAGAAGCCUUAUUUAACGCUCUUGACCUCGGAUCAGGUAGGGAUACCCGCUGAACUUAAGCAUAUCAAUAAGCGGAGGA
rnacentral:misc_RNA from 1 species